AAUAUUUCGCCAAUCUUUGUGACAUUUCUAAAAGUUUAAAAAUAUCCUUAUUUUGCAGAUAGGAAAAAAACUAAGCUCAGGGAGGUUAAGUAACUUAAAUUUAUAUAGAUAAUUGAAACACAUUGAAAUCUAGAAGAAUCUUGACCUUCUUCACCCCUCAGAACCAUAGAUCUUUCACUAUAUUGUAUUCUUUGGAGAACAGUUAUUUCAGUCUUAUAUGUCAUUAAACUGAUAGUUUUUUUUCCCUUUUACUGUAGGUCUAUCAGUCUUGGAAAUCUGUCUUAUAAUAGCAAUGAAACAUUUAAAUGACAUCUAUGAGGAAGAGCCAUUUAAUUUUCAAAUGGUCUAUAAUGAGUUUCAGAAGUUUGUUCAAAGGAAAGCACAUUCCGUUUAUAAUUUUGAAAAACCUGUUGUCAUGAAGGUAAGAUUUAGUUUGCUGUCAUUUUUCUACAGACAAGUAUAUUUUUUACAUCCAAUUUGAUUAUGUAUUAAAAUUGCACUUUCAUUUUUAAACAUUAAGUAUUAUAGAGAUUUUUUUCAAAACAAGAAAAUUAUCUAAAAAUGAAAUAUUUUGGAAAAAUCUGAGGAAG
rnacentral:lncRNA from 10 species